UGACAACUGGUGAUAUUAAACAAUAAUUC
rnacentral:sRNA from 1 species